rnacentral:rRNA from 1 species
GACGAACGCUGGCGGCGUGCUUAACACAUGCAAGUCGAACGGAAAGGCCCUGCUUUUGUGGGGUGCUCGAGUGGCGAACGGGUGAGUAACACGUGAGUAACCUGCCCUUGACUUUGGGAUAACUUCAGGAAACUGGGGCUAAUACCGGAUAGGAGCUCCUGCUGCAUGGUGGGGGUUGGAAAGUUUCGGCGGUUGGGGAUGGACUCGCGGCUUAUCAGCUUGUUGGUGGGGUAGUGGCUUACCAAGGCUUUGACGGGUAGCCGGCCUGAGAGGGUGACCAGCCACAUUGGGACUGAGAUACGGCCCAGACUCCUACGGGAGGCAGCAGCGGGGAAUAUUGCACAAUGGGCGGAAGCCUGAUGCAGCAACGCCGCGUGCGGGAUGACGGCCUUCGGGUUGUAAACCGCUUUCGCCUGUGACGAAGCGUGAGUGACGGUAAUGGGUAAAGAAGCACCGGCUAACUACGUG